UACGAAGGGUGCAAGCGUUAAUCGGAAUUACUGGGCGUAAAGCGUGCGCAGGCGGCUUCCUAAGUCAGAUGUGAAAUCCCCGGGCUUAACCUGGGAACUGCGUUUGAAACUGGGGGGCUAGAGUGCGGCAGAGGGGGGUGGAAUUCCACGUGUAGCAGUGAAAUGCGUAGAUAUGUGGAGGAACACCGAUGGCGAAGGCAGCCCCCUGGGCCUGCACUGACGCUCAUGCACGAAAGCGUGGGGAGCAAACAGG
rnacentral:rRNA from 1 species